AUGGUCCUACGUGACCACAACGGCGCCAUAAUAUUUGCUUCCUGCAGGUUGCUGACUAGCUGCGCGAGCGCUCUUGAGGCGGAGGUCGCCGCAUGCAUGGAAGGGGUGGCCUUAACACUUGAAUGGAGCUCCCUGCCUUUCUCUCUGGAAACGGACAGCUUAGUCGCUGCUAAUAUGAUCAAAGAAACUGAACAAAACAGGUCUCCAGUUGCUGCCAUCGUUGGAGAGAUCAAGUGGCUCCUUGCACUUGGUCGUCAACAUGUGGUAACGCAUGCUUGUAGGAGUAAAAAUAAAGUUGCUCAUGCUUUAGCCCAAAUGGGGCGUUCUGAACCACGUACUGCAGUUUGGAUACGCCAUGGACCUGAUGCAAUUGGCGCACUGUGCCAACAGGAUUGUAAUGAUCUCCUUUGA
rnacentral:rRNA from 1 species